rnacentral:rRNA from 1 species
AGAGUUUGAUCCUGGCUCAGGAUAAACGCUGGCGGCGUGCCUAACACAUGCAAGUCGAACGCGCACGGAGCAAUUCGUGUGAGUGGCGGACGGGUGAGUAACACGUGGGUACCUGCCCUUUGGUGAGGAAUACCAGCGAGAAAUCGCUGACAAUACCGCAUAGGUUUCCCCUUUGGGGAAACAAAGCCCGACAUCGGGUG